GCUGGGCGAGGUGGCACAUGCCUGUAAUCCCAGCAGCUUGGAGAGGCUGAGACAGGAGGAUUGCAAGUUCAAAGCCAGCCUCAACAAUUGUGAAGCAUCUCAGUGAGACCCUGUCUCUA
rnacentral:sRNA from 1 species